rfam:Gorilla gorilla gorilla genomic chromosome, chr22, whole genome shotgun sequence
GCCGGGCAUGGUGGUGCAUGCCUGUAAUCCCAGCUACUCAGGAGGCUGAGGCAGGAGAAUUGCUUGAACCCGGGAGGUGAAGGUUGCAGUGAGUUGAGAUCAUGUUACUGCACUCCAGCCUGGGUGAGAGAGUAAGACUCUGUCUCAA